UACGUAGGGGGCAAGCGUUGUCCGGAUUUAUUGGGCGUAAAGAGCGUGUAGGCGGCCAUUCAGGUCAGCUGUGAAAACUCGAGGCUCAACCUCGAGACGUCGGUUGAAACCGUUUGGCUAGAGUCCGGAAGAGGAGAGUGGAAUUCCCGGUGUAGCGGUGAAAUGCGCAGAUAUCGGGAAGAACACCCGUGGCGAAGGCGGCUCUCUGGGACGGUACUGACGCUGAGACGCGAAAGCGUGGGAGCGAACAGG
rnacentral:rRNA from 1 species